ensembl:lncRNA
CCGCUGCUGCAGCCCGCGGUCCCCAGGGCACGGGCACCGCCCAGCCCGCUGCGGAGACCGGGGGACCGUAGCGGCCGCUUACUGAGUGGGGGGGGGGGGGGUCCGUCGGUGAAGCGGGAAAACACGCCCCCCCCCUCGGUGCGGCCGCAGUGGACCGGCCCAGGGAAAAAGGGAACGCGAGGCCCCUCCCGUCACCACGCGCGGCUGCUCGGGUCGCGCAUGCGCGCGGCGGGGGCGGAGCCUGCGGGCCAGGCGGCGGGAGCGGGCCUCGGGCGCUCUGGCCGGGGUCUCGGGGCCUUGGGCACAGAAGAGCGGAGUGUCGGCGCCUGCUGCCCGACGGGACCCGAGGUAACGCCGCAGGCCGGCUUCUCCCCGCCUGGCCCGAGCCCCUCUCCCGCCUGGGCCGUCGGAGCGAGCCCGCCCCGCCCCCGGAGUCCUGACGACCGCGCGCCGCGACGUGCCCCGCCUCUACCGUCCUCCCGGGGCGGGGCCUGUGGUCCGCGCGGCCCGCGCGCUCGGUUCCGGCCGCCCGGGGAGCACCGCAGGGCGUCGGGAGAGCGACGGGAGUGAGCGUGCGUGGAAGUUGGUCCCGAGGAGGAGGAAGCUUUCGGAGCCCCGGUGCCGCCCCGAUGCGACCUGAACGCGCUUCCGAGGCACGGCUGAGUGGGCCCGCGGGGCUGGAGGCGGAGCGGCGUGGGGCCCCGUCCGCCGUCCUGGUCCGGGGUGCUGCGGCGGCGGCCUCGUGCGCGCGACCAGCCAGAAGGACCCAGAGGGGAGAGGAAUAGUUCUUCCUCCCUACGUGGCUAAGUUCAAAACAGUUGUUUUGUUGAUAAUCGACCUUCAGAGAAUAAACAGCUUGUUUAAUGCUAAUUUGUUUCAUGGCAUUGGGAUUGGAGCUUGUCUUUCCUCGUGACUUUCCUGGCCAUUUCCCUGGGAAUCCUGUUCUGCCACUGCUGCUGAAGUGCCCAGUGUCUGCCGUCUUCCGUGGAAUCCUUAUUGUGGCUCACAAGAUCUCUUAGAAUGCCCAUGUCUAUUCUGGGACUCUGAGGUGCUUAGCCUUAAUUACUGAGAAGGAAAAUACAUCAGGAGUUGUUUCAGAACUAUUAUCCCCAAUACGUCAUUUUGGUUAAAGUUCUUAUACUUAGUUUUAGAUAUAUAGUCAUGUGCUGCAUAACAACGUUUCAGGCAACGACGGACCACAUACAUGAUGGUGGUCCUAUAAGAUUAGUACCACAGAGCCUGGGUGUGUAGUAGGCUGGACCGUCCAGGUUUGUGGAAGUGCACUCUAUGAUGUUUGCACAAUGAUGAAAUCACCUAACGAUGCAUUUCUCAGAAUGCACCCCCGUCGUUAAUCGAUGCAUAACUGUACCUGUACUGAUUUCUGAUCAAGUAUGAUUUUGCUGAAAAUUAUACUUUUCAUGCAAAAUAUUUCUCCCUUAUACAAUUAAUUGCAGUAUAAAACUGGUAGGGAAAACAUCAAGCAUUUGGAAUUAAAAAGUUUGAGACAUCAUGUUCUAAACAGUAAUGCCAUCUUUUUCAUUUACAUAGAUAUUCUGGGUGAAGAACAUUAAAUUCCUUGCUAUAAAGGAAUGUUUUCCCUGUGAAAAGUGAUUUCUGUAAUGCUAAUGUGAGAGAGAAAUACAUUAGUUUUGUUGACUUUGGAGAAUCUGAACUGAGAUACCUUAAAAUUUAAUUUGUUAAAUAUUUGGAUUGACUAUGUAUAUAUGUGAUUGCAUUCAAAACAUACACAGCAUUUACUUAGCUAUACCAAUAGAUCCUUUCCCCAAAUAACUAACUUAACCUUGGAGAAAUCUCAUAAGUCUCAAAGGUAGAAUAUAAUAUGUUGACCUAUUUUCAUGGUUUCACUUCAUUUUCUAUUC